GGAGGGCAAGUCUGGUGCCAGCAGCCGCGGUAAUUCCAGCUCCAAUAGCGUAUAUUAAAGUUGUUGCAGUUAAAAAGCUCGUAGUUGAAUUUCGGGGUUCUACCGUUGGUCGGGCUUUGUCUGUACUGGUGUGUAGAAUUUCUACCUUCUGGGGAACCAUCAUGCUAUUAAUUUAGCGUGGUGGGAAACCAGGACCUUUACCUUGAAAAAAUUAGUGUGUUCAAAGCAGGCUUAUGUCUGAAUACAUUAGCGUGGAAUAAUAGAAUAGGACGGUGGUCCUGUUUUGUUGGUUUCUGAAUCACCGUAAUGAUUAAUAGGGAUAGUUGGGGGCAUUAGUAUUCAAUUGUCAGAGGUGAAAUUCUUGGAUUUAUUGAAGACUAACUUCUGCGAAAGCAUUUGCCAAGGAUGUUUUCAUUAAUCAAGAACGAAAGUUAGGGGAUCGAAGACGAUCAGAUACCGUCGUAGUCUUAACCAUAAACUAUGCCGACUAGGGAUCGGACGAUGUUAAUUUUUCUUGACUCGUUCGGCGCCUUACGGGAAA
rnacentral:rRNA from 1 species